GGGCGAGGAAACUUGGAGAAUCAAACUGUUGGUGUUAAAUUGGUUAAGCUUAUCAUUUUAGGGAACUCCGUUCUGAUCUUCAUUAAGGAAACCAGUCUAUCCACCGGGAACUCAUUCCUAGGAGAGACGGUAACGCCAACACUAGUGCAUUAAUUGCCUGAUGUUCAGAGCUCAGGCCCAUUCCCUUUUGGUUCUGAGGUUUUGACCGAUCUGUAUAUUCUGGCUUUCAAUAAAGGCCUGUCACAGAAGAAAGACGGAAAAAGGACGCUGGGCAUGAAGUCAGUCAUAAACUAAGUGGUUCUUCAGGCUUUUGCUGCUUUGCCAUGAAAUUUGCAUCUUGUAAAAACUGGAUCUGUGCUCCAUGCACAACAGAUGCUUCAUAUUUGCCAAAUAAAGUUUCGGUACCUCUGCGUCUUGUUCACUGACUUUCCUCUGUGAUGCAUACCUCUUCCCUGACUGUAAGUCACAGCGCUCUUCCUGUUCCGAUGAUCAUCUUAAAGUGACUGGAAAUCGUUGGCUUCAGAAAUGCUAUUAUUUCCUUCUGCUUCUGGAAUGUGAUCAGAUGAGAUCAUUCCUAUAGCAAAAUAGGAUUGAGAAAUAUUUUAGAGGCUGAGAGAUAUUGCUUCAUGCCACGCCAGGUAACUCUUUUUUUUUUUUUUUUUUUUUUUUUUUUUUUUUUUUUUUUUUUUGAGACGGUGUUUCGCUUGUUACCCAGGCUGAAGUGCAAUGGCACGAUCUCGGCUCACCUCAACCUCCGCCCCCUGGGUUCAGGCAAUUCUCCUGCCUCAGCCUCCUGAGUAGCUGGGAUUACAGGCACGCGCCACCAUGCCCAGCUAAUUUUUUGUAUUUUUAGUAGAGACGGGGUUUCACCAUGUUGACCAGGAUGGUCUCGAUCUCUUGAACUCGUGAUCCACCCGCCUCGGCCUCCCAAAGUGCUGGGAUUACAGGCGUGAGCCACCGCGCCCGGCCCCAUGACUACUAUUUCUUUAGGACACAGUUAAUCACCUUCCCUCACCAAUAACCUUGCCUCACACUAUGUUCUCAAGGUUUGCAAAACUCAUCACCCAACAAACAAAAAAAGAUGAAAAACAAAACAAAACGAACGCAGCAACUCUGUUCCGUAUAAGAGUCACUCAC
rnacentral:lncRNA from 13 species